GGGCCCGAGCUGCCCCCCGCGCCUCCGGGGCCUCGCCGGCCCGCCCGCCAGCCGCGGCUGAGGCGGGAGGUGUUCGCAGGGCCCGAGCUGCCACCCGCCCCCCGGGGCUGGCGCCGGCCCCUCCGCUACCGGCGGGUGAGGAGAGCGGCGAUCGCCUCCCGCGGGGCGGGGGACCAGCCCCCUUCCCUCCCUCAGGGGCAGGAUCCCUCCGGAGAAGAGCCUUAGCACUGACGAUUCCAUAAACUGUAUGGUUCAUCCCUGGUGCUCCGUAAAUGGCCACUGGUCCCAAAUUAGUAUGUGGGUACAAUGAUUGAAGAAUAUGAAGUCCUUAGUUAUAAUGUUUGUAACCCAGUUUGACAUUAUUUAAAUAAAUUUCUUCUGGAUGAGACAGUUUGAAGACA